AGUGAUUUCAGCACAAGGUAUCAUUCAUCGGGGUCUCCUCAGAGUUUUAACGCCCUAUUUUCUUCGAGCCCUUCCGUGCAAUAUGGCCCUCCGGUAUCCGCUGAGUUUCUUUACUGGCAGAAGGCCGCGCAUUAAUUUGACACCUAUACGCUUUCAAAGCUCCCCGAGUCGUGUGACUCGUAUGGAAAACUUGCUCAGGGAGCACUUAAAUGUGGACCGCGUCGAGGUGGUCGACGUUUCAGGAACUGAAAGUUUUUUCCAUGUUCAAGUGGUGUCCAAGGAUUUCAUCGGCAUGAGCUUGUUGGAUCAGCACCGCCUGAUCAACAAAAUUCUGGCUCCUGAAAUAUCAAACAUUCAUGGUUUAAGAAUAAAGUCGGCGCCGCCCGCUUGAAGUGUACUUUAAAAUAGGUCUUCGCCGCAGCGAGCUCGAUGUGCCUCAAAAACAUGUUUUGUCUUGGGGGAGAACGUCUUACCUACUUUGAGAAGGACGGCCCUUUCCCACCCCCUCAAAAGCUCACUCCAUCGAGGAAAUAGCAGAAUACUAGAAAAGUGGUUUGUCUCAUUGACUAGUUAUCAAAAAUUUAGGCAAAUUGUCCGCACAUGGUAAUUUGUAUAGGCACCUUGGGCUUAUUGCCGGCGGUGACAGAAUUGGCCAUGGAGAGUAGGCCGGAGCAGUUGUGAUUGAGUUGAAAGUUUUCGUCGUCGAACUUUUCGCCAUAAAUUGACAUGUUUCCGGUUCCGUCUCCGUUAACGAAAUCGCCGCCCUGGAUCAUGAAGUCUUUAACGACACGGUGAAAGUAGCAGUCCUUGUAUCCAACGGGCUUUCCAUCGACUCUGCGCGCAGAGGUGAGUUAGGCACGGUAGAAAAUAGAGGGGAAGAUGAUAGAGGGGAGAGCGUACAAGAAUUCGCCUGUACACAGUUGUCUGAUUUGUGGAGCGGUCAGCCAUGAAGAUGCGGGAUUUAGAAGAAAGCGCGGUAGAAAGCCAAAAGGUAAAUGCGUAUAUAGGGCGUACCUGAAGUUUUCAGCGGUCUUCGGAACAAGGUUGGCGAAGAGUUCCAUUUUGAUUCUUCCGACGUCUUGGCCACCUAUAGCAAUAUCGAAAAACAUGAUGGGGUUUUUUCUAGAGGAAGCGGAGGGCGGGAUGCCAGUCUUCUUAUCGUGUGCUGUAUUCGUCAUCUCUUCGAA